rnacentral:rRNA from 1 species
CGGAGAAGGCUCGGUUGUAACCGCUUUGGUCGGAAAGAAAAGGCGUCACCUAAUACGGGCGCUCUUGACGGUACCGGCAGAAUAAGCACCGGCUAACUACGUGC